rnacentral:rRNA from 1 species
GAAUAUUGCACAAUGGGCGAAAGCCUGAUGCAGCGACGCCGCGUGAGGGAUGACGGCCUUCGGGUUGUAAACCUCUUUCAGCUCCGACGAAGCGAAAGUGACGGUAGGAGCAGAAGAAGCACCGGCCAACUACGUGCCAGCAGCCGCGGUAAUACGUAGGGUGCAAGCGUUGUCCGGAAUUAUUGGGCGUAAAGAGCUCGUAGGCGGCCUGUCACGUCGGUUGUGAAAACCUGGGGCUCAACCCCGGGCCUGCAACCGAUACGGGCAGGCUAGAAUUCGGUAGGGGAGACUGGAAUUCCUGGUGUAGCGGUGAAAUGCGCAGAUAUCAGGAGGAACACCGGUGGCGAAGGCGGGUCUCUGGGCCGAUAUUGACGCUGAGGAGCGAAAGCGUGGGGAGCAAACAG